rnacentral:rRNA from 1 species
GAGACUCUGUGCGCGUGCAUAUCAAUAAGCGGAGGAAAAGAAACUAACAAGGAUUCCCUUAGUAACGGCGAGUGAAGCGGGAAGAGCUCAAAUUUGAAAUCUUCAAGGUUCUACCUUGACGAAUUGUAGUUUAAAGAAGUGUUUUCUGUUAGUAGAGUUGGUAAAAGUUCUUUGGAAUAGGACAUCAUAGAGGGUGAGAAUCCCGUAUUUGGUCAUUAUUUUCUAGCUGUGUGAUACACUUUCAACGAGUCGGAUUGUUUGGGAAUGCAGUCCAAAAUGGGUGGUAAAUUUCAUCUAAAGCUAGAUAUUGGCGAGAGACCGAUAGCGAACAAGUACCGUGAGGGAAAGAUGAAAAGAACUUUGAAAAGAGAGUUAAACAGUACGUGAAAUUGUCAAAAGGGAAGCGUUUGACACCAGUGUUGUUUUUCUCGAAAAUCAAUUAAAAAGGCUGUAUUUUUGAUGUUGUAUUGACCUUAAUAGCUUGCUUCACUCUUUUCUUGUAACUUUCUUAAUGCACUUUUCGGUUAACAAGUCAACAUCAAGUUUCUGUUGUUGUAAAAGGGUCAUUGGAAGGUGGCUUUCUUUUCGGAGAAAGUGUUUAUAGCCUUUGAUCUCUGCAAUCGGAGAGACUGAGGUCUGCAGCGUAGACUCUUCGGGGUUAGAUACAGUUUGUGCUAAGCUUAUAGCUUUUCAUAGACAACUUGUUGACUAUAGUUUAGUCUUGUAGCUUACUCGCUUAUGCUAUUUUACCUACGCUUAGGAUGUUGAACUCUAUCACACACAG